AUACUUGCUUCAGCAGUAUGUUUGCUAAAAUGGGAACAAUAAGAGAAGAUUGGCAUGCCCCUCUAGAAGUAUGACACAUAAAUUUAUGACGCUGUUUAUAUUUUC